UACGUAGGGGGCUAGCGUUGUCCGGAAUUAUUGGGCGUAAAGAGCGUGUAGGCGGUUCGAUAAGUUUGCUGUAAAAGUCGGGGGCUCAACCCCCGAAGCCGGUGAAUACUGUCGGACUAGAGUACGGAAGAGGCGAGUGGAAUUCCUGGUGUAGCGGUGAAAAUGCGCAGAUAUCAGGAGGAACACCGAUGGCGAAGGCAGGUCUCUGGGCAUUAACUGACGCUGAGGAGCGAAAGCAUGGGGAGCGAACAGG
rnacentral:rRNA from 1 species